AACGAGCGCUGGCGGCAUGCCUAACACAUGCAAGUCGAACGAGACCGUCGGGUCUAGGGGCGCACGGGGGCGUAACGCGGGGGAACCUGCCCUUAGGUUCGGAAUAACUCCCCGAAAGGGGUGCUAAUACCGGAUAAUGUCUUCGGACCAAAGAUUUAUCGCCUUUGGAUGGGCCCGCGUUGGAUUAGCUAGUUGGUAGGGUAAAAGCCUACCAAGGCGACGAUCCAUAGCUGGUCUGAGAGGAUGCUCCGCCACACUGGGACUGAGACACGGCCCAGAAUCCUACGGGAGGCAGCAGUGGGGAAUAUUGGACACUGGGCGCAAGCCUGACACCGCCAUGCCGCGUGAGUGAUGCAGGCCUUAGGGUUGUACAGCUCUUUUACCCGGGAUGAUAAUGACAGUACCGGGAGAAUAAGCUCCGGCUAACUCCGUG
rnacentral:rRNA from 1 species